GCUCCUCUGGCCAAACGGAAAAGGCAUCAGGCUUAAAACCUGCGAUUUCUUGGUUCGAAUCCAAGGUGGAGCA
rnacentral:tRNA from 1 species